rnacentral:lncRNA from 1 species
AAAGGCAUUACAAUCUUUACACACAAGAUUAACCUUGAUACAUGUGACCUAGGGGUACACAAAGACAUUACAAUAUUGACAUCCAAUAUUAGCCUUAAUACAUGUCACCCAUGGGUACACAAAGGCAUUACAAUAUUGACACCCAAAAUUAACCUUAAAUCUGUGACCCAAGGGUACACAAAAACAUUAUAAUUUUGACACCCAAGAUUAACCUUAAUA